ACAUAAAAGAAGAAAAGCAAGAAAAAAGUGUAGGAACUUUGCUGUGUUAGUAGAUCUUCAUAUUUUGCCUCAAGGCUCAAGAAAAGAAACCAGCUGGUUUUCAGAACAGAUGAAAAAGAAAUUCACUGUGGUCUUCUCUAAGGUGGAAACUUUUGAGACAUCAAGAGUCCCUAGUUAGUUCUCAUGGCAACAUCUUCAACAACUCUUCAGGAUAUAGGCUUCACAUAACAGCUUAUUUCAUCAAAAGAGGGAUUCACCUUCAUUAUAUUGUGGGGAAACUGAAUUAUGGUAAGUGGCGCGCUCUGUGCAUUCUAUUCCUUUUCGUACCAUCACUUUCCUCCAGAAAAGAAAUA
rnacentral:lncRNA from 1 species